UCACUUCGUCGCCUGGUAUGACGCCAGACGUUGGUCAGUGAUGACGGUGGUGUGCGUCCGGCGAUGGCGGCAGCUGCCUGCCGGUCCUUGGACGGUGUCCUGUCUGCAGUUUGCGGCGGCCGGGUACCGGGUUACGGCGGCACUGGGAGGAGGCGAUGGCGUGGGCAGGGUGGACCGCAGACCGAUGCGGAGAGGGCUAUGCUCGUCAGUGAUCUCUCUGCAUUAUAAUUCAAGAAGAAUGUCUUCGGUGGAAGGUCAAAAAUUCUAUUUUGAUACCCAUGCAGUUGUGCGACAUUUGGAAGAACGUGGUUUCAGCUCUAAACAAUCGGAGGUUGUGGUAACUACACUGCUGAGAGUCAUGAAUUCUAAUAUGGAAAUUACAUACAAAGACAUGGCGACAAAAAAUCAACAAGAGAUAAUGCUUCAGCAGAUUAUGUCACACAUAGCAGCUGUAAAGAAAGACAUGAUUAUAUUAGAAAAGAGUGAAUUUUCAGCUUUGCGGGCUGCAAAUGAGAAACUGAAAAUUGAAUUGCAACAAUUAAAAAAACAGUUAACUGAUGAAGUUGUCAAAGUUUCAUCAAACAAUAAAUUGGACCUGAAUUUGGAAAAAGGUCGAGUCCAAGAAAUGUUAACAGAGCAUGAAAAAAGAGUAUUGGAAACCAAAGCAGAUAUAGUAGAAGUGCAUUCACAACAGGAAAGAGCUGUAACACAAGUGAACCAAAAGAUAGACACUGAAGUAGCAGGACUCAAAACUCUGUUGGAAUCACAUAAACUUGACACCAUUAAAUAUUUAGCAGUUCGAUGUCGCCAACACUGAGCACCCAAGGAGAGUUGCCGAAGCGACCUGCACCUUGGUCAUCUCUGAGGCUGAGGUACGCAGGUAUUUCCAACAAGUGGACAGUCACAAGGCUGCGGGACUGGAUAGCAGCCCAGGGUUCAGUUUUCACAUGCCUCACCGUAGUGCUUGGAUUUUAUCGCCUUUGGGUGUGAAAUUUAAUCCCUUGCUGGAUCUUCAUACUGAAAGGAUCAGGAAGAGCAACAUCUGUAAGCAAGAAAGACAAUCUCUUGAAAUGCUGCAAGGAGCCAAGAAAUUUACAUAUUGAUUUAAUUCAAAUAAUUCUGUGUAUCUGUUAAACAGAGUUUUAAAGGUUAAAGAAUAACAAGCCUUACGAAUUUACUUUAAAAAUUUAUUCAACCACUAAUGCAUAUUGAGAUGUUGCUGAAAAUGUACAAAUUCAUUUUGCUAUUUCUUAACAAAUGUACGAGGGAUGAUUGAUAGUCAAUUUUAGAAAACCUAGCACAUUUAUUUUUCAACUUAGUCCCCGCCUACAUUUACACACUUAUUAGAUUAUGGGGACACUCAGUCCUCGUUUAUUGUCAUUUAGAAAUGCAUGCAUUAAAAAAUGAUACAAUGUUCCUCCAGUAUGAUACCACAGAAACACAAGACAGACCAAGACUACAAUGGACAAAAACACAUAAUUAUAAUAUAUAGUUACAACAGUGCAAAGCAAUACCAUAAUUUGGUAAGAGCAGACCAUGGGCAUGGUUAAAAAAAAAAGUCUCAAAAGUCCUGAUAGCCCCAACAUCUCACGCAGACAGUAGAAGGGAGAAACUCUCCCUGCUAUGAGCUUCCAGCACCACAAACUUGCCGAAGCAGCAUCCUGGAAACACCUGACCACAGUCCGACUCUGAGUCCAUCCGAAAACUUCGAGCCUCCGACCAGCAAUCCGACACCGAGCACCAUCUCUGCCGAGCGCUUUGACCCUGCCCCUGGCCGCCGAGCAACAAGCAAAGCCGAGGAUUCGGGGCCUUCCCCUCUGGAGAUUUUGGAUCACACAGUAGCGGCGGCAGUGAAACAGGCACUUCAGAAAGUUUGAAGUUAAUAACUCAUCAUGGGUGAUUGUUAAGUUUGUGGCCUAAGGUAGAAGGAGAUGAGUUAUUAACUUCAAACUUUCUGCAUAAUCACUUAAAGAGUUGACCUGCAUGUGCAUGUAACUAGAGCUGUAUAACUCAUCUCCUUCUUCCUUAGGCCACAAACUUAUCAAUCACCCAUCUGUGGACACUUGGAGGUCAAGAUCCGUGUACUCCACGACCGCUGGACUAAGUGCGUAAAUGUAGGAGGGGACUGUGUUGAAAAAUAAAUGUGCUAGGUUUUCGAAAAUUGACUCCUACCUUAGGCCAUGAACUUAUCAACCACCCCUGCUGUGAACCACUUCUACAAAGAAGGGAUCCGUAUGCUCCACAACCACUGGACUAUGUGUGUAUGCGUAGGAGGGAACUACAAUAUUUGUAUGUUGAAAAGUAAAUGUGCUAGGUUUUCUAAAAUUGACUGCUUCUACCUUAGGUCACAAACUUACCAAUCACCCCUCGUAUUUACUAAAUGUUGUCUGGUUCUAUUGGGCAACAACAAAUUAAAUUAUAACGGUAUUCACCAUUGCCGAGUGAUGCAAGGUGUCAAGCUGCUAGUGCCUCUUAAUUACUAGUCUGUAAACAAGAUGUGCUUCCAGAUAGUAACCAGUGAUGGCUGAUUUAUACCAAUAUUGGGACAAAUUUGAUGUCUAACCACAACAGUCAAAAAGACUUGAGAACCCCAAUUUUCUGAUGAAUCUUGACUUGUUUCCAAUAUUUAUGAGGCCCAACAUGACUGUUUGAGUUAUUUGUUGAUAAACAGUCACUAGCCGGUGCUGGGAUUAGACUUGCUUGUAUCAAAGUAUUUAAUGAAUCACCCAAAGAUUUCAUUGCUUGUGGUUAAGAUGAUAUGAGAAUCAUGCAAGAAAUUCAAAUAGGGCAGACAUAUAACCAUGUAACAAUUACAGCACGGAAACAGGCCAGUCUCGGCCCUUCUAGUCCGUGCCAGUGAACUCUUACUCUCACCUAGUCCCACCGACCUGCACUCAGCCCAUAACCCUCCAUUCCUCUCCUGUCCAUAUAUCCAUUCAAUUUAACUUUAAACGACAACAUCGAACCCGCCUCAACCACUUCUGCUGGAAGCUCGUUCCACACAGCUACCACUCUCUGAGUAAAGAAGUUCCCCCUCAUGUUACCCCUAAACUUUUGCCCUUUAACUCUCAACUCAUGUCCUCUUUUUUGAAUCUCCCCCAAUCUCAAUGGAAAAAGCUAUCCACGUCAACUCUAUCAAUCCCCCUCAUAAUUUUAAACACCUCUAUCAAGUCCCCCCUCAACCUUCUACGUUCCAAAGAAUAAAGAUCUAACUUGCUCAACCUUUCUCUGUAUCUUAGGAGAUGAAACUCAGGCAACAUUUUAGUAAACUUCCUCUGUACUCUCUCAAUUUUAUUGACAUCUUUCCUAUAAUUCAGUGACCAGAACUGUACAUAAUACUCCAAAUUUGGCCUUACCAAUGCCUUGUACAAUUUCAACAUUACAUGCUAACUCCUAUACUCAAUGCUCUGAUUAAUAAAGGCCAGCAUACCAAGAGCUUUCUUCACCACCCUAUCCACAUGAGAUUCCACCUUCAGGGAACUAUGCACCAUUAUUCCUAGAUCCCUCUGUUCUACUGCAUUCUUCAGUGCCCUACCAUUUACCAUGUAUGUCCUAUUUUGAUUAAUCCUGCCAAAGUGUAGCAACUCAAAUUUUUCAGCAUUAAACUCCAUCUGCCAUCUUUCAGCCCACUCUUCUAAGUGGUCUAAAUCUCUCUGCAAGCUUUGAAAACCCACUUCAUUAUCCACAAUGCCAUCUAUCUUAGUAUCAUCUGCAUGCUUACUCAUCCAAUUUUCCACCCCAUCAUCUAGAUCAUUAAUAUAUAUGACAAACAACAUUGGACCCAGUACAGAUCCCUGAGACACACCGCUACACACCCUCCUCCAAUCUGACACACAGUUAUCCACCACUACUCGCUGGCGUCUUCCAUCUAGCCACUGCUGAAUCCAUUUUAUUACUUCGAUAUUAACGCCUAACCAUUCCUAACUAACCUUCCGUGUGGAACCUUGUCAAAGGCCCUACUGAAGUCCAUAUAGACAACAUAACAUGUAUCACAACAUAUUGUAUCACAACAUGUGUGAGUAUUAUGGUUUCAUAAAAAUUUGUACAGAUUUUGAUGAAGAAAAUCCAGACAAUAUAUACAAGAGCAUGCUGAAAAAAAAUGUCCAACCAGCCUAUCGGAGCUUAGAGUUGCAUGUCAACUUGUCCGUCCACACAUUCAUCUGCAGAUAAAACUUUGUUUCAUCUUGAAAAUAUUUCCAUCUGUUAAUCAAGUUUAAAUUUUAAAAAGAAAAUUGUAUUUUAAUUCAUAGACUAAUAUAUUGGGAAAUUUUUGUCCUAUUAAAAUUAAAACUACAAAUAUUGUAUUAACAAUUUGAAAAGAAUUUCCAUUAUUUUGCCAUUUUCCAUAAAAUGGGACCCCAAAAAAAGUUUUUGAACCUAUCAACUUUUGAUCUGUUAUUGAUGGUAUUUCCUAAUCAGUAUUGCUGAUGUUGAUCUAGAUAGCACGAAAGGCCCAGUGCAAUAGGCAUUGGGGAAUAAUGCUUUAUCUUCAUUAAAUAUCAAGAGUUGUACUGCAAUUCUGCACCUUAUUUCCAAUAAAUUGCAAUUUUUUUUCUAUAUGUGGCUUGUUCAUUAGAUUUUUGGUGGAACCCUGUCUAGCUGGUAUUCCUGCCUUAGACUGUGUACUAGUUCAUGUACAGUUUAUGAGAUCCCACUAACUUGGAUAUCAAAUUCUAGGCCUAUGGAAUAAGAACAAAAUUGGAAGGUUUGUUACUUCUCCUGUUUUACUUAUAAUGCUUUUAAUUGUUGUGCUGUUAGCAGUUUCUUCAUUUAAAUUAAAUUUAAAAUUUAAUGUUGUGGUUGUAGAGCACUGAAAUAGCCCAUUGUCCACCAUGUCCAUGCCAACAUUUUUGCUCAUCUUAGACUAACCGCAUUUGCCCACAUUGGGGUAAUGUCUCUGAUAUAUUUUCAAUGUUAAACUUUGACAGCAGCAAAGCCUGUCAGAGGAGUUGGGGUAUUUAAAAUAAAUAAAUAAACUACUGGAAGAACUUAACAGUAGUUAAGUUGCAUCUCUGGAAGCGGGGUUAGUCGAUAUUUUCAGUCAAGACCCUGCAUCAGUUCUGAGGAUGUUGGGGUAAGUGUUGGUGCCUCUAUAAUACACUGGAGAUCAAUUUUCUGUGCAGAUUUUUCUGCCUUGCAUUAAUGUAGAGGAUGAGUAAGAUUGUCCUUCAGCAUCCAGUUUAAAUAGAUUUGAGAUGGCAGAUCCAAUAAGAUAAAACCACUUUAAUACACAUUACCUUGAAUGCACUGAUACAGCCAGAAUAGGAAUUUUGAUCUACAAUUCAUAUUUUAAGUUUGGAACUUUAUCUUUAUCUCUGAUACCAAAAUAAACAAAAUAAUAUUUUCUGCCAUUUUGUUGACACUGCCUCAGUUUUAUUUUAUCCUGUCAUUUGUAAUGUUUGUAUGAUCAACAAUCAGAAAUAAAUUACUUUAACAGGACCUGGUCUUUGCAGCC